AAAGCUCCCAGAUUUGUCUGAAGGGGCUUGGAAGCAUUUUCACAACAAGAGAGGCAUGUCUCCUUUGUUUUGAUAUUUGGGAGAGAGAGAGACAGUUCUGCUGCAAAAGUUUCACAGAUUUAAAUAGAGAUGAUUAUUUAGCUAAAACACCACUCCAGCAACCACAUUUUUCUGGAGACAUUGGGCAAAGACAUUGGAUUGUGAAUGGUUUAGUAGAUUGUCUUGCUAUCAGCCAAAUUGUGAUGACUUGACCAGAAAUUAAUUGUAAUGAGAAGUACUAAUUUGGUUAAGCCAUCUUCAGAGACAUUUCAUGGUCCUCUCUGCACUGGAGCAAGGGCACAAAGUUCUCUAAAUAUAAAUGUCUAGUGUCAUUUGAGCCUCUUGGAAGGCUGAGACAUCCACAUGAACCUCAUAGAUAAUAGAAAUGUUAGUAGAAUACUUAUGGUUCUCUAAAUGCUGGAGAUCAGCUGGAAUCCCUGAGAGCAUCUCAAAGAGCACUGGAUGCCUAUGUUUAGGCAAAUGAAUUAAGGUCCAUAAUCAUCAUGGCCAACUUGGAUGAAGGCAGAAUGACUCCUUCUGGAAAGACUGAAAGCCUCCAAAUUGCUCCAGCAUACACUUAUGAGGGUUGAUGGCAAAGCUGAAGAUGCAUUUCAGCACGUUGGGUGAGAUCUGCAAAGGCCGUUAAAUGAGAUGAGGACCUACCAAGCUAAUGGAGCAACUCCUUCUCAAUCACAACAUUGAACUGCCUCACUGAUUUCAGUGCCUAUAUCCUUCCAGUGCCCCUAGAUUGCUUUGGUUCUGUAUUCAUAAAUGAAAGUGCAGUGACUCAGAGGUUUGGCUGUCUGAGCUGUCUGUCCUUGAUGGCUGAAAACAUCUCCAAAGCAGGAAAGAAAUAUCACCCAGCCAUCAGCAGCAACAAUUUCAAGUUUGUCUCAGUGGAGGCAGGUCAGUGGUCUAUACUCUUUCCUCUACAUAAUGGUUAGGCAGAGAUGAGUUUAUUUUUAUACUUCUGUGACUGGAGCUGAAAGGACAAGUUUAACUGGAGGUGAUCAAUGCUGUUGUUCAUAUUUCCAGUUGGAGGUGCUUUGCCUCCCGGUAUGACAAUGAGAUUCACCCAGACUUUAAACAUCAGGGUUCUCCUGGAUUGUUGGGUUGCUGGUGGAUGGUUGGAUUAAAAAUAAAUAUUGCACUGGCUUUUUGGAGAUGGUCCCU
rnacentral:lncRNA from 1 species